rnacentral:rRNA from 1 species
UGGGGAAUAUUGGACAAUGGGGGCAACCCUGAUCCAGCAAUGCCGCGUGUGUGAAGAAGGUCUUCGGAUUGUAAAGCACUUUCGACGGGGACGAUGAUGACGGUACCCGUAGAAGAAGCCCCGGCUAACUUCGUGCCAGCAGCCGCGGUAAUACGAAGGGGGCUAGCGUUGCUCGGAAUGACUGGGCGUAAAGGGCGUGUAGGCGGUUUACACAGUCAGAUGUGAAAUCCCCGGGCUUAACCUGGGAGCUGCAUUUGAUACGUGUAGACUAGAGUGUGAGAGAGGGUUUGUGGAAUUCCCAGUGUAGAGGUGAAAUUCGUAGAUAUUGGGAAGAACACCGGUGGCGAAGGCGGCAACCUGGCUCAUGACUGACGCUGAGGCGCGAAAGCGUGGGGAGCAAACAGGUUAGAUACCCUGGUAGUCCACGCUGUAAACGAUGUGUGCUAGAUGUUGGGUAACUUUGU